CUUGAGCAUGGCUCAGAUGUCAGCCCCUCCGUCCUCCGCCCCCGCUCCCUGCUUCCCAGGGUAGCAGGCUCACCAAGGCCAGGGCUACCUACCCACACCUAGGGGGCUGGGUACAGCCCAACCAGGUGCCUGCUGCUGGCCUGGAUCACUCCAACCUGGACAGGCCACCAUGGUGGGCACUACACUCCUGCUCCUGGCCCUGCUCCCUGGGACCUCCAGUAAGCACAGUGCGCCACUUGGUAUGUAGAGGCUGGCAUGGGGUGGGGGCAUUGUGUCCCACUUCCCUAUUGUCCCUUCUCAACUUGGCUUCGCACCUCAGUGUGUGUGUGUGUGUGUGUGUGGUGCAUAACUGGGGUGCCAUGCCUUUUUCUUCUCCCAGACUCCCCUCUGCCAGUUUCCUC
rnacentral:lncRNA from 1 species